GCGCGAAAACUCUCCAAUGUGCGAAAGCGUGAGAGGGGAAUUCACAGUGCUUACGGUUUAGCCGUAGGCUUUUGCCAUGUGUAAAUAGCAUGGCGAAUAAGUGGUGGGUAAGACUGGUGCCAGCCGCCGCGGUAACACCAGCGCCACGAGUGGCUAUCGCGAUUAUUGGGCCUAAAGCGUCCGUAGUCGGUUCUGUGCAUCCUCUGUGAAAUCGCAGCGCUCAACGUUGCGGCAUGCGGGGGACACGGCA
rnacentral:rRNA from 1 species